rnacentral:lncRNA from 1 species
CUCAAAUAUGAAAUCUGCAAACAAUGAGAGUCAAGUGUACAACUAAUCCAGGUAUGCAUUAAACUUCCAGCUGGGAGCUGAAAGUCAGAUUUUAUAUAAUGUCAAAUAUGAAGCUAUGGUACUAUAUGGAGUUUGAAUACCAUUCGUUGCAGAAAAUGAUGAUGUAACAUUUUCAACAAAUUGACUUUCCAUGGUUUCUCACAGCUAGCUGCCUAAAGCCCCCACUUUAAUGCGUCUUCUAUAUUGUGCUAUCUGUUUUUUUGUUUGUUUUUGUUUUUUUGUUUUUUUUUUUU